GCUCUCGUAGCUUAGCUAGUUAGAGCGCCCACUUAGUUAGCAGAGGUCUUGAGUUCGACUCUCAACAAGAACA
rnacentral:tRNA from 1 species